AUUGAACGCUGGCGGCAGGCCUAACACAUGCAAGUCGAGCGGAUGACGGGAGCUUGCUCCUUGAUUCAGCGGCGGACGGGUGAGUAAUGCCUAGCAAUCUGCCUGGUAGUGGGGGACAACGCUUCGAACGGAACGCUAAUACCGCAUACGUCCUACGGGAGAAAGCAGGGGACCUUCGGGCCUCGCGCUAUCAGAUGAGCCUAGGUCGGAUUAGCUAGUUGGUGGGGUAAUGGGUCACCAAGGCGACGAUCCGUAACUGGUAUGAGAGGACGAUCAGUCACACUGGAACUGAGACACGGUCCAGACUCCUACGGGAGGCAGCAGUGGGGAAUAUUGGACAAUGGGCGAAAGCCUGAUCCAGCCAUGCCGCGUGUGUGAAGAAGGUCUUCGGAUUGUAAAGCACUUUAAGUUGGGAGGAAGGGCAGUAAGUUAAUACCUUGCUGUUUUGACGUUACCGACAGAAUAAGCACCGGCUAACUCUGUGCCAGCAGCCGCCGCGG
rnacentral:rRNA from 1 species